UUCUUCUAUUGGCCGUAAUAUCCCAGUCUGAUUGCCCAAUUUGCCGUUGUCGAUAACAAUACAAACAACACUGCUCGCGUCAAGGUGCCACGAUCGUGGUCACGCACUGAAAAAAUCGUUUUAUUUGACGUCGAUCUUGGGGUAAAAAACAAAACAAAAUCAACUACAGCGCAAGGAGAACUUUUUCUAGAAGCCUCCUGAAUUCUGCUUUUGAGCGAUCCGUCAAUAAUAAAAUGAACACUGAAGAGUUAAAUCACAAGACAACCACAAUCAUGCCGCAAAAGUAUCUGGAAACAAGAAACACACUAAUGACACUCGAAUGUAACACAGCGAACAAACACCAGCACACGAUGAUUCAACGAAUAAGAGUCGCAUCGCAAUUGAAUGAAGUUGACCAGAUAAAAAAGAAACCUAAUUUACACUUCUAUCGGAGACAAAAAAAUUUACAAAUCCGACGUCAAUAUACACGCUAACGUGCAGCCACGAGUUGCGCGCAAGUAAUUAAGAAAAAAAGGCGCACCGCGCGAGGCGUGCGCGUGAAAGGAUGCAAAAAUUGAAUAAGAGAUCUAGCGAUCGAAAAGUGCGUGCAUUGCUUAGCACCCUUCGACACACAAGAAAAGCUAAAAAAAUUCAAACAUGAGCGGAUAUCAGGGGAAUGAACCUUUCAACGACUUCAUUGAAACAGUGAACAUAGGAAUACGUUUUUGGAAUAUAUUUUCUCCAGAUGUAAUAUUAACUUACGUUUCCAGGACAAGGAGUAAGUUGUCGUCAGAUACGAGUUUCACUUUGAUGAACAGGUCAAAAUUUUUUAGCUGUAAAUUGGAUCAUUUCAGGUUUUCAUAUCAUAUACGGCGAAAUAGUGGAUAGGAAGGAUGAGUCGGGAACUAUCACUUUGAAAGUUGAAUCAAAUGGAGGAUCCAUGUACAUCAUCACACGAGAAAAAGGAGUCUAUAGUGCAUACGAGACAAAAGGUUGGAGGAUUUGGCUACGUGCAGGGAGGAGUUAUAUCAAACGGAAGCCUCAAAGCUGAUCUUCCUGCACACAUUUCAGCUCGUUUUGAUGUUAUCUAUUUGAAUUAUUCGAGAUAGUAGAGCUCCUUUUCGCACAAUGCAGAAAUUAUUGUACACUGAGCUACAUUAGUUUAUUAAAGCGUUUGCAUAAUUACACUGGUCGUGCUUCACUUGCAAAAAUUCUUAAUUUAAUGGCUAAAAUUCUCCAUAUCCUAGAACCUUUAUUAAGGAACAUAAGCCUUUGCUUCCUCGGAGUUUCCGCAACAAUUUCUUAACUGAAAUAUGAAGAGAUAAUGCCAACAUAUUGAGUUGAGUUAAUCAACAGACUCCAAAUCGAUUUAUAAGAUUGUAGAUAAAUUUCUUUAGUUUCGACAGUAGAUACCUCGGCUGGUACAGAAACUACUAACUCUACUCCCUCAGUUUAAGCACUAAGGUUGAAAUCAAAAUGCCACAGGAGAGACUCUCAGGCGAUAAAUAAAAUAACGAAAGUCCGAAAUAAACAACCUAGAAUUAGGUAUAUUUAUUUCAAGGAAAUGCGCACCAAGAAAAUGUAUUUUCGCUUCUGCGCAUGAGGCCUGGCAAAUGCGCCUGUGAAUAAGGUCUCACAAACUCAAAAUUAUACUCGGUGGAAAAACGUUGCUCAUCAACUUUGAGAUAAAAGAUGGCAGGGUUUCAGGGACCGGAGCCAUCGUCAAGAUUUUGUGACAUAAUAAAUGUUGGAAGGAAAGAAAGAGGACAAAGAAUUCGACCUCAUGAUGUAACAAUAUUCUACAAGGUGAACUCGGGAAGAGGAGAGUUUGAAGUCCAGGGAGGAAUCAUUUUCGACUCGACACAGCGCUACGGACGACACACAAUAACAGUUGUUGCGGCGCGCGGAUACACAUUUGGCUUCACUCGUGAUUCUGGGGGCGAAUUUCAGUUCACCACUUCACAAGAUAACAUUUGGGGAGAAAGAUUGGACCGUGUGAACUUAUGAAAUCGAGAAAAUACUCCUUCUGCUUGAUCUUCUUCUUGGAUCGCUCAAAAGGGGACCGCAAUUGACAAGAGCUCGCCAGACAGUCCAUUCAUUUAACUUCAUUAAAACAUUUCACUUGAGUUGUUAUGUGAAUAAAAAUCAUGUUGACUACAGUAAACAACACGAAACGUUCA
rnacentral:lncRNA from 1 species